UAUGUUUUCAGAGACGGUGGAGUUCGACUAUAAAUAGGUAAGCUAUCCUCUUUCAAACCCAUCAUCUCAUUCAUUCUAGACUAAUCAGUAAAAUGGCUAACGUUUCGGUUCUUCUCAAUUCCAGUAGACAUGAAAGUCCACUCCCAAAAGGAUUACAAUCGACGGCAGAAGUUUACCUCAUAGAUUUGCAAAAAAAAAAAAUAUGGGUGUGGACUACAGACAUCAUUUUCUCUACUCAACAGUAAAUUGUUGUGGCUACACGUGCUCUAAAUUGCCGGAUGGCUACAAAAAUGAUUUUCCCACUACUGUCAAUAAAUUAUCGAGAGGCAUGAGUGUGUAAAUAGGCACGGCUCGAAAUCUACUGAACUGGAUGAUCUAGAGAGGAGUGACUUAGCUAUGAUGAAUCUGAGAAGAUGCAAGUUCUUUUAUUAUUUUUGAAAGUUGUGUUCUGCCAAAUCGUGUAAAAAAUACGAUAGAUUUUUUAGUCUCGAUUAAAAAAGUUUUUUUUGGCUGAUAUAAGCGAAUAUUAUAUCAUUUAUGUAUGUGUUUAUAGGUAUGAUAUUAUUACUAUUGAAAAAUAAAGUAUUCUCCAUAUUUUUGUCUCGAUUUUAAAGCAUCCCUAUUGUCUAAUUUGCAGGUGUUAGUUAGAAUGCUGCAAGAUAAGGACCACCAAGGAGAUUAGCGGCAUUCUCUUUGAUAUUUACCAUUUCAGAAGCUUCUUUAAAGCUUGCUCUUCCUAUACUAUUCAUAGGUUAUGUAAUGCAGAGACUGAUGCAGUGAAAAAAUCAACUCUCUCUUCUAUAAACUUGCCCUUUUUGGUGA